AUUGAACGCUGGCGGCAGGCCUAACACAUGCAAGUCGAACGGUAACAGGAAGCAGCUUGCUGCUUCGCUGACGAGUGGCGGACGGGUGAGUAAUGUCUGGGAAGCUGCCUGAUGGAGGGGGAUAACUACUGGAAACGGUAGCUAAUACCGCAUAAUGUCGCAAGACCAAAGAGGGGGACCUUCGGGCCUCUUGCCAUCGGAUGUGCCCAGAUGGGAUUAGCUUGUUGGUGGGGUAACGGCUCACCAAGGCGACGAUCCCUAGCUGGUCUGAGAGGAUGACCAGCCACACUGGGACUGAGACACGGUCCAGACUCCUACGGGAGGCAGCAGUGGGGAAUAUUGCACAAUGGGCGAAAGCCUGAUGCAGCCAUGCCGCGUGUAUGAAGAAGGCCUUCGGGUUGUAAGGUACUUUCAGCGGGGAGGAAGGGAGUAAAGUUAAUACCUUUGCUCAUUGACGUUACCCGCAGAAGAAGCACCGGCUAACUCCGUG
rnacentral:rRNA from 1 species